rnacentral:rRNA from 1 species
UACGGAGAGUGCAAACGUUGCUCGGAUUCACUGGGCGUAAAGGGCACGUAGGCGGUCUAGCAAAUCGGGUGUGGAAUCCCUGUGCUUACCACAGGAACUGCGCCCGAAAAUACUAGGCUAGAGCACACAAGGGGAGACUGGAACUCUAGGUGGAGCGGUGAAAUGCGUAGAUAUCUAGAGGAACGACGGAGGCGAAAGCGAGUCUCUGGUGUGUUGCUGACGCUGAGGUGCGAAAGCUAGGGGAGCAAAC